rnacentral:rRNA from 1 species
UACGAAGGGGGCUAGCGUUGCUCGGAAUCACUGGGCGUAAAGGGUGCGUAGGCGGGUCUUUAAGUCAGGGGUGAAAUCCUGGAGCUCAACUCCAGAACUGCCUUUGAUAUGAGGAUCGUUGAGUUUCGGGAGAGGUGAGUGGAACUGCGAGUGUAGAGGUGAAAUUCGUAGAUAUUCGCAAGAACACCAGUGGCGAAGGCGGCUCACUGGCCCGAUACUGACGCUGAGGCACGAAAGCGUGGGGAGCAAACAGGG